AUGAGCAUAGGCAUCACGGGAGUUGCGGCGGCCGCUCUCUUCUCAUGUUGCUGCCUGAUGGUUGCACUUCCAGCUAGCGCUGCCGCGGCCAGGGGUGCCGUCAGUGGACCGCGGUACAACGCCGUCUUCAACUUCGGCGACUCGGCUUCCGACACCGGCAACACAUGCACUGAUGGCCGGCCGGGGCCUGCCGGCGUGGUGGGCAUUUUCACCCGGCUGCCCUACGGUGUCACCUAUUUCGGGAAGCCCACUUGCCGGUGCAGCGAUGGCCGGGUCGACAUCGACUUCCUGGCGCAAGCGUUCGGGCUGCCGUUCGUCCCGCCAUCCAAGGCGCACCGCGAGGACUUCAAGCAAGGCGCGAACAUGGCCAUCAUCGGCGGCACCGUACUUGACUACACCAACUCCAGCCUCAAGUUCAGUGCCUACGACGGCUCCAUGAACACCCAGAUCGACAAUUUCCAACAAUUGUUGCCUUCAAUCUGUGGAGCACAGCAGAAUUGCGAGGAAUAUUUGGCGAAGUCCCUGUUUGUGUUUCAGAUGGGGGAGAAUGACUACAGCAUUCAGCUGGUGAAUGGAUCCACGGUAGAUGAGGCCAGCAAGAACAUACCCAGAAUAGUUAACACCAUCAUAUACGGUGUAGAGGAAUUAAUCAAACUCGGCGCAGUUGACAUUGUGGUGUCAAACAUUGCUCCGAUGGGAUGCUUUCCAUUGUACCUGAACAUGUUCGAGAGCUCCAACAAAAGUGACUAUGACAAGUACGGGUGCUUGAGAAACCAUAAUGCCUUGUUCAAUAGGCACAAUUCUUUCCUUCGGAGUAGCCUCUCAAAGCUUCAAAUGAAGCAUCCACACACAAGGAUCAUGUAUGCCGACCCUGCGAGUCACAUCUACCAAAUAGUGCAAGAUCCCAGAAAAUUCGGCUUUGAGACCGCCCUCAUGAGCUGUUGCGGAAAGAGCGGUGCACCGUACAGAUUCGAUCUGUUCACCAUGUGCGGGAUGGAUGGCUCGAGUGUUUGCCAUGACCCGGGGAGCCACCUCCUCUGGGAUGGUAUGCACCUGAGCGACACCGCUAACGGACGGAUCGCAGAGGGCUGGCUCAGCGGCCCGUACUGCCACCCACCGAUUCUGCAGUGA
rnacentral:rRNA from 1 species